rnacentral:lncRNA from 1 species
CUUCUUACCCCCGUGCCAUCCGUCCCUGUCUAGCUUCCAGUGCGCUCGUCGGCCCGAGAAAAGAGAGAAAGCGCUGACAGCGUGCGCCAAACCUCCGUAACUCCGCUUAUUCUUGACGGAUUCGAGAAAUUUUUGCGGCAAUCGAUUCGGGAGGCAGCAAACUCCAAUACUGAGGAACAUGGGAAAGGC